AUUGAACGCUGGCGGCAUGCCUUACACAUGCAAGUCGAACGGCAGCACGGGAGCAAUCCUGGUGGCGAGUGGCGAACGGGUGAGUAAUAUAUCGGAACGUGCCCAGUCGUGGGGGAUAAAGCAGCGAAAGCCGUGCUAAUACCGCAUACGAUCUACGGAUGAAAGCGGGGGAUCGCAAGACCUCGCGCGAUUGGAGCGGUCGAUAUCAGAUUAGCUAGUUGGUGAGGUAAAGGCUCACCAAGGCGACGAUCUGUAGCUGGUCUGAGAGGACGACCAGCCACACUGGAACUGAGACACGGUCCAGACUCCUACGGCAGGCAGCAGUGGGGAAUUUUGGACAAUGGGCGCAAGCCUGAUCCAGCAAUGCCGCGUGCAGGAUGAAGGCCUUCGGGUUGUAAGCUGCUUUUGUACGGAACGAAACGGCGAGCUCUAAUACAGUUUGCUAAUGACGGUACCGUAAGAAUAAGCACCGGCUAACUACGUGCCAGCCGCCGCAGUAAGAC
rnacentral:rRNA from 1 species